rnacentral:rRNA from 1 species
AGUGAACGCUGGCGGUAGGCCUAACACAUGCAAGUCGAACGGCAGCACAGUAAGAGCUUGCUCUUACGGGUGGCGAGUGGCGGACGGGUGAGGAAUACAUCGGAAUCUACUUUUUCGUGGGGGAUAACGUAGGGAAACUUACGCUAAUACCGCAUACGACCUACGGGUGAAAGCAGGGGAUCUUCGGACCUUGCGCGAUUGAAUGAGCCGAUGUCGGAUUAGCUAGUUGGCUGGGUAAAGGCCCACCAAGGCGACUAUCCGUAGCUGGUCUGAGAGGAUGAUCAGCCACACGGGAACUGAGAGACGGCCCAGACUCCGACGGGAGGCAGCAGUGGGGAAUAUUGGACGAAGGGCGCAAGCCUGAUCCAGCCAUACCGCGUGGGUGAAGAAGGACUUCGGGUUGUAAAGCCCUUUUGUUGGGAAAGAAAAGCAGCAGGUUAAUACCCCGCUGUUCUGACGGUACCCAAAGAAUAAGCACCGGCUAACUUCGUG